rnacentral:pre_miRNA from 1 species
GGUGUUGUAGGGUAGGAGGAAAGAGGUGUUACCUUAUCAGCUGCCACCUCUUCCAUCCUUCCCUCUGAAGCAGC